AGCUUUUCAAAUCACUACUUUGAGCUCCACAUUUCUACUUCCAACGUUCACCACCUUCAAAGCUUCCAAGCUUCCCACGUUCCAAGGUUGUGUCCAAGUGCUCUUUGCUCAAAGCUCUACACUUCUUUUUCUAAUCUUCUUGAGUGAUCCAAGUUAAGUAGAAGUGUUGUCCAAAAUUCUUACAUCUUUUUAUUGUGUGUUCCACUUUGGUUGAGAGAGGUUGUUCUCAAGAUUACCAAAGUACAAGGGAGGUUAUUGAGCUGAACCAAAAAGCUCUAGGUUGGUUUUAUAAAGUUUUUUGGUAAAACUCUUAGGUUGAAUUUACCUGCAAAGAUUCAAAUUGGUUUUAUAGAGUUUCUUGGUAAAACUCUUAGGUGAAAUCUACCUGUAAAAGAUUCAAGGUUCUUGAGCGUUGUAGCAUAGUAAAAGCUCUGUUUGGUUUUAUAGAGUUUUCUGAUAUAUAAAACUCUUAGGUGGAAUCUAUCUGCAAAGGAUUUAAGGUUCUUGAACGUUGUAGCCUAGUAAAAGCUCUGGUAGGUUUCGCCAAUACCUUUAGGCAAGUGAAUUUCAUGAGGGUACAUUACGAG
rnacentral:lncRNA from 1 species